CCAAGGGCCUACUUGACUGUUGAAUGAAAUAGGAAGAGAGCACUCUGAAUGGAGGAUGAUAUCCUGAAGGUGAUGCCUAUGCGAAUAGAGAGCACAAUGGGGCGUGUCGCUAAAGCUGAUGUAUGAGACCCUCCCUUCUGUCUAAAUACUAAAUAGCAUCCUUCAAUCCUAGCUUCAUGAGGGCAGCCUCACUUUUUCUGGGAUCUCGCUUAGAAUAGAACCCUAUCGCGAAUAGGAGAGGGAGCCGACCGACCAGAUAAAGCCCUUUCAACGCUACGCCCCUUGCUUCUCCUUCCGCCUUGGAGCACCGCUUGAUUGAUGAGAAUGCCACCACCUUGCAACUAAGAG
rnacentral:misc_RNA from 1 species